CGUAUAUUUUUUCGAUCAGAAAAACUAGCAAUAGUAAACAAUUAUUUAACGGGCUUCGAAUACUUAGUUAACUUCUUGGUAUCAUUGUUUACGGCAGACGAAUAUCUAAAUAAAUACUGGACAUGUAUAUAUACUUCUACAAAUAAUGUCAAGAAACUCAUGAGAAAAAUGGAACUCUUUGCAAGAUUAUGUGUCGUUUACUCAGUAUUUUUUAGAAUUUAUACAUUUUCUGUGUUUUAUCAAAAUGCUCCGCCCGUAUCUGCCUUCAGUUUUGAAACAUUGGAUAUAGCUGUUUUGGUAUUUUUGAAUAUUGCUAAUGAUAUGAGAAGAAUAAUGACCCUUUUUUGCUUUGUAUUACUUUAUUGUCGAACAAGAGUUAUGAAAAUUGCAUUAAACCCUAUUGAUUUUAAUGAUUCAAUUCGAGACAGAUUUGCUGUUAAUAGAGUUAUUCAAAUGUAUGAGGCGCUUGUUGAUACUUUAAAAUAUAUUGGAUACCCAUUCAAAGUUGCGGUUACAUCUUGUUUGAUUUGUUCGUUAUUAAAAACAAUUUACGAAUUGACUGCAAAGUUAUUACGUAUUAAGCAAUAUAAUGAAAGCAAUAUAAAUGUGAAUUGGAUGUUGAUAUCUGGACAACCAACAUUGUUUUUUAUAACUCUGGCACUGGUCAUGGACUUAACCGUUGACCAUAUUACCGAUAUCCAGGUUAUUUGUGCUCAGAAAAUUAUGAUGUGUAAUAAUGAACGUGAUCGUUUUGGAAUGGAAAGAUUACUAAAGUUACUUGAACACCGUCCACUACGUUACACCAUUUUACGAUUAAAUCUUAUCAAUCUUCGUUGUGUGCUGAGUAGCCUGUCUUUCUUCACCAUUAAUAUAAUUGCCGUACUGCAAAUAAAGAACUUCUACGCUUAGAUCAUCAUCAUCAGCCAUUCAA